ACACCGGCAGCUCUAGUGGUAGCUGUUUUUAUUGGGCCUAAAGCGUUCGUAGCCGGUUUGGUAAGUCACUGGUGAAAUCCUGUAGCUUAACUAUGGGAAUUGCUGGUGAUACUGUUGAACUUGAGGUCGGGAGAGGUUAGCGGUACUCCCAGGGUAGAGGUGAAAUUCUGUAAUCCUGGGAGGACCACCUGUGGCGAAGGCGGCGAACUGGAACGAACCUGACGGUGAGGGACGAAAGCUAGGGGCGCGAACCGGAUUAGAUACCCGGGUAGUCCUAGCCGUAAACGAUGUGGACUUGGUGUUGGGAUGGCUUCGAGCUGCCCCAGUGCCGAAGGGAAGCUGUUAAGUCCACCGCCUGGGAAGUACGGCCGCAAGGCUGAAACUUAAAGGAAUUGGCGGGG
rnacentral:rRNA from 1 species